rnacentral:lncRNA from 1 species
AUGCCCUCCCAGAUCUCCCCCAGCACAAUGAAUCCCUCCUUCCCUCCCUGCGGUUCCUCAGCAUCAGGCAAAAACCUGACCACACGCAUCCUCCAUGCCCAGCUCAGUUCCAGAAUCUGCCCGCUGCUCUCCAUCCCUGAGGCCCACCUUCGUCCUGGCCCUGCCAACUCUUCCCAGAUGCCUCAUCGGCUUCCCCUAUUGGCCUUCUGCCACUUCCACUCCUGCCCUGACAGUCCCAGCUCUCCACAGCAGCCACAGGAGCUUUUGAAAAUCAUAAAUCAGACCAUGUUUCUCCCCUGCUCAUACACCCUCCAUGGCUCCCCAUUGCUCUGCAGUCCACUCCUGCACCUCAAUCCCUGUCCGCAGACCUCCCUGCCUUCAUCUUUCUUCUUUCUCCUCCUCCCUCAUUCUCUUCCAGCCACACCAGCCUCUUCACUGUUCCUGAAACAUGCCAAGUCAUUUCUGCCUCAGGACCUUUGCACGUACUGUUCCUUCUGCCUAGUACACUGUUCUCCCAGCUCUGGCCUGGCCAUCUCCUCCUCCUCCUUCAGAUCUCAGCUCACGGUCACCUCCCUGGAGAGGCCCUUCUGCCCUUUCCCUCUCCCCCAGGCAUUCUCUAAGACAUCACUAUGUUUUAUUGUCUUCCCCCCACAUAUCACAAGACCUGACCUGGUGCCACCUCAGCACCCACCGUGUCCCCACUGCCCAGCUCAGGGUCUGGUACACCGUAACUGCUUGGUGUUUGUUGAUGGAGUAACCGACCCCACACAUCUAGGACUGGUGCCUCUGUCCUCCCCACACCCUCAUCGGCAGCUCCCUGCUGACCCUAGAAUGUCAGUCAAUGUUUGCAGGGGAAGGAAGGACCAAAGAAGCUGUUCCCUAAGGGCUGUUGCAGGGAGCGGGGCCACGGGAGCUGGGUGGUGGAAACUGUGGGGGUUGGGGCCCUUCCACUUGGUGCAACUGCCCCCUUCAGGCUGUGUGACACUGGGCGGGUCACCUAGCCUCUCUGAGCAGAUUCCCCACCAUCAGCGAUGGGAGAAAGGGGACAGUGACUCUGGGGGGCUCUAG